UCUUCAAAUUUGCAGAUAGUUGUAACACCCGUUCCCAUUCCGAACACGAAGGUUAAGAACUAAUACGCCGAUGGUAGUGCAGGGGAGGCCCUGUGUGAGAGUAGGACGUUGCCAGGU
rfam:Clostridium sp. DMHC 10 contig_16, whole genome shotgun sequence.